UCCCUGGUGGACCAAUGGUUAGGCACUUGGCUGCUAACCAGAAGGUUGUUGGUUCAAACCUACCCAGUGGC
rnacentral:tRNA from 1 species